UGUGGCAUUUAGAACACCUGGAUGCAAUUAUCACCGGUGUCAAUCUACAUAUGCAGAGGAAAGAAACAAUUUUCAUCCUUCCUGGAAUUUGUAUAAUUAGUCCACAGUAAUUAUUUAAAAAAAAAAUUCGAUGCUGAAAGUCUUUUCUCCCCUACAUUUUUAUGUUGACACUAUUGUAAGAGCAUCAUUACUGGUAUUUAGGAUGCGAAUAAUUGAACAAAGUUCUGUAUACUUAAGAGAUGGUCAGCAUAACCUCUUGGUAUCUUCUAAGGCCAUUCUGUUUUGAGUGGGUAUCCAUCUACUCCAGCUCUUGGCUGCAAAACCACAGGAAAGAGUGAGAGAGGCCACCGUGCUCACGGCUGUCAGCAGGACGGGAUUCUGUCCUCUGGAAGUACAAAGCGAUCACCUAAGAUACUCCGUUUAUUGGCUGGAAAACUGAAGCCCAAUCAGACAGCUGGUGUGAAGACAGCUCUGCCUGUUUGGAAGAGCACCUCAUCCCCCAGCCCGGGAUCCAAUUGAAGGAUAAUUUGUCCUGCUCUGAUGCUGGGGCUGCAGGAAGGCCCAGGACCCAGGAUCUCGUCUUAUCAACCCAUCACCUUGGCAAGGUUUAGCCUGAGUGUGAAGGCACAGGAGAGGUUUGCCUCAGUGGAGGGCAAUCGCGCCGAGGCCUCUAAAGUCCAUGGCAACAGGAAUUCUGCCACUCCGGCUCCUGGUUUCUCAGGCCUGUCCCUGCUGGGAGAGGCCUCCUCGGUCUUCCACCUGCGUGGGCCUAUCUGGUUAACCACCCAAGGCACAGCCCGUCUUCUGAAACAAAGAGCGCCAGCCAGCUGCCUCUGCUCUCCCUCGGCCUUGGAGGAAGCGCUGUGACAAAGCCCGCAGGACGCCAAGCAGGCUAACUUUGAAGAUGAGCCUCCACUGGCUGCAUUAUGAGGCCAGCGACACUUAUCAGACUGAUAAUCUAAAGAUGCUUUUGCCCCUGGAGCAGUAUCUCAUUCCAGGGCAGCUGCACAGAGACCUCGGCACAGGCGUUUUGAGCCCUGCAGCCCAGCUAAGAGAUGCACCAGCUAAGAGACACACCCCGGGCUGUGGCUUCUCCUGCAGACUGGAAGAGAAUGGCCUCCAACAGGGAACAGACGCAUUGUGUUUCUCCCACUAGAGAAGAAGCAAUACUGAGCCUGCAUACUGGCCUUGGAGGGGACACAAUUAAACAUCAGCAGAUCUCAGAUUCGAACUAAAACACAAAACUUUCAGAAGUCUGGAAAAUCUUUUCUAUGCCAAAAUAACCAAUACUUUUGUCUCGAAGGACUUAGAAUCACAACCGGGGGCUGUUGAAAAAAAGAAUAAAGAAAGCAAUUAUGGCAAGCAGAAGUAGAAAACAUUUUCCGCUCUGCAAAUUGGAAGAGACGGAAGCCACAUGUUACAGCUUUCACUUUUACCGGCUGCAUGUGUGUAAAAUACGGUGCUUCCUGCCGUGAAAAUAGGGUAAACUCAACAAAUUAGAAACUUUCUUGUGUGAAUUCAUUUAAAGUAGUUCUAAAUUUCACCAAUGUAAUGUGUUAGUGGAAAUGUCCCUUUAUUUGAAUAUGUUCUAAAUUUGCACAAACAGGAGUACUUUAUGAGAGACAAGUGCAUGGUGGUCACGUUUAUGCCUCUAAUCCCUCGGAAACAGGACCUCUUGUCCUUAGAGAAGAAGAGACCUCCAGUGGGGCUGGGAGUGUUUCCAAUCGUGUGGCUCAUAGUUGGAGUGGACGCUGGCGACCUGCUCUCAGCAGCUCCCAGAGCAAGGUUGGAAAAGAAACUCAGAACCCCACCUCCUUGGCAAUUGUGUUCUCCAGUUCUGCCAAAUUGAUGCCCUGGUGGGAGACUCUGAAUUGGACCUGACUUACGUGGAGGAGGCAAGGUGCUGCUUCCCUGCUUGUAUGAGUUAGAUGGUGGCUGGCGCCGCAUAGAUCUGGAGUCUGGGCGUCCUGGGGCAGGUGCCCGAGUCUGCAGGGGGCUGAUUUGGUGGAAAUGUGGUUCUACAAGGAGCGGCAGUGCAAACAAUCCCUCGAUUUACUAUAGAAGAGGACAGUCUGGUGACCUGAGAGGUGCCUCUGGGAGCCCCACGAGGUGCCCCUGGGAGCCCCACUAGAGCCUGUUUCUCCCGUCUCCCUAAUGACUUUGCAAAUGUGCACGUCCUGGUAUUCAGUCCCUUUGACUUAACCCUAUCGGAGUGGGUGGUGUCGCCAGCAGCCAGACGCUGGGUGGAGCACUGGUGAAGAGCUGGUCAACAGUGUGGGUCCAUGAAAGAAGUGUCAUUCCUGGUGUACACACAGAUUUCUUGGUACAGAGAAGGCCCCUUGUAAGAAGCACAGACCUUGUGUAAAGGUCCCCAGGCACAUUGAUUGGUGUGUCCGCAGUGAAACAGAAGCAGCUGACUGAGGAUGGAGAGCUCCAGGCCUCUGCCGGAAUAGCUUGGUUGGGGAGAAACACACCAGCCCUUCUUGGGAAGGCUUGCGGCAGGCCCAGCAGGUCCCCACAAGGAGAAAUCCUCCUGCUGAUGUGCUGUCAAUGUGGGUUGGGAUCUUCAUGGAUUGCAAGAGGCUGGUUUACAGAGGCUGCUGUAACCUCUGUAAGCUAGACCUCGUAUAUGGAGAUGCAAGCAGGAAGUUCUUCCUAAAGAAACUCGUGGCUGAUUUAAUGCUUUCUGCCACGAGAGCUGCCCAAAGUCAGGAAUGCCCUCUUGGUAAAACACACUUUAUAGCUUUCAGGAAGUCAGAGUACUUUUGGUAAGGGUCACUUUUCCACCCCCGAGACUCGUUAAUGAUGGUGAUUGCAACUAGCUGAAGCAAUAUCCUAGAAAUUACUAUUAAAUGUAGUUUUUUUUCUUUGCAUGGGGAACAAUUUCAAAGCAUAUGGUAUGCGCUGGAGAUCUAAUUGGGGCAAGCACCCCCUGAAUGCCUGUGUUAAUCGCUAUCUUGAGAAUGUAGAGAUCCGUCCUCCCUCUAUGUUCCAAUCAAGCAGAAUGCUCAGAAGGACACGUUGUUCAGUGUUCAAGGUCAGGAGCUCCUGGGGUGGCCAACUCGGAGUGUCUCCCUUGUGACAAAGGUGCCCAAGGGGCAGGCCUUGAUGUCCUCAACACGCUGGCCAUGCAAGGAGGAGAAGACCGCCGACAGUUUCUAGGCUAGCUUGCUGGGCUUUACAACCUCCCUGUGCUUCAAGCCCAGCGGCGGAUAUUUUAUCCAGUCGGCCACUCCGGAGGCCUGUGCUUCAGUUCCCCAGUAAACCUGUGUAUUUGUCGCUGUCUCCAGGGCUUUUAUUUGGCCUCACCAGACCAUCACCGACCCUUGGCUAAGUCUGCUAGGGCGGAGCUGCACAUAAAGUACUUAAGUAUCUACGGCUGUAGCCACCACCUCAUGUAUUGUGAAUCAGGGGAAGUUGUAAUGAGGCAAGGCUGCCAGGCUCUAGUUGUGGUCCUGAACCUAUAGAUGUGUGGUCUUGGGAUGGUCAUUCACUGGUGUAAGUCUCAGCGCUUUUAUUUGUAAACUGCCUGAUGUACUAAAGUAACUAGAAAAAAUAAAAAAUAAAGUAACAAGAGCCCUUUCACCUGUAAAGCUGUACAAUUUGUUACAUGUGUACAUGUGAAAACCCUUUGCCUUCUAAAUAUGCUUCUAAAAGUUUUAACCGGGAUCCCUGGGUGCUGCAGCGGUUUAGCGCCUGCCUUUAGCUCAGGGCGCGAUCCUGGAGACCUGGGAUCGAAUC